rnacentral:rRNA from 1 species
UACGUAGGGGGCGAGCGUUGUCCGGAAUCAUUGGGCGUAAAGCGCGUGUAGGCGGUCCGGUAAGUCCGCUGUGAAAGUCGGGGGCUCAACCCUCGGAUGCCGGUGGAUACUGUCGGGCUUGAGCACGGAAGAGGCGAGUGGAAUUCCUGGUGUAGCGGUGAAAUGCGCAGAUAUCAGGAGGAACACCAAUUGCGAAGGCAGCUCGCUGGGACGUUACUGACGCUGAGACGCGAAAGCCAGGGGAGCAAACGGG